GACGAACGCUGGCGGCGUGCUUAACACAUGCAAGUCGAGCGGAGCGGCGAACGGGUGAGUAACGCGUGAGUAACUGCCCCCCUCUCUGGGAUAACAGUUGGAAACGGCUGCUAAUACCGGAUAGUGGGGGAUGACUCGCGUCCUAUCAGCUUGUUGGUGGGGUAGUGGCCGACCAAGGCGACGCCGGGUAGCCGGCCUGGGAGGGCGACCGGCCACAUUGGGCUGAGAGACGGACCAGACUCCUACGGUGGGCAGCAGUGGGGAAUAUUGCACAAUGGGGGAAACUGUGAUGCAGCGACGCGCGGGCGGGAUGACGGCCUUCGGGUGGUAAACCGCUUUAAGCCAAGACGCGGUAGUGGCAGAAGAAGCACCGGCUAACUACGUGCCAGCAGCCGCGGUAAUAC
rnacentral:rRNA from 1 species